UACAGAGGUCUCAAGCGUUGUUCGGAAUUACUGGGCGUAAAGGGUGCGCAGGCCGCGCGGGCAGUCAAAUGUGUAAUCCAGGGGCUCAACCCCUGAACUGCGCUUGAUACUUCCGCGCUCGAGCUUUGGAGAGGAGUCUGGAAUCUCGGUGUAGCAGUGAAAUGCGUGGAUAUCGAGAAGAACACUUAGGGCGUAGGCAAGACUCUGGACAAAUGCUGACGCUCAUGCACGAAGGCUAGGGUAGCGAACGGG
rnacentral:rRNA from 1 species